rnacentral:rRNA from 1 species
UACGUAGGGUGCAAGCGUUGUCCGGAAUUAUUGGGCGUAAAGAGCUCGUAGGCGGUUUGUCGCGUCUGCUGUGAAAACUCGGGGCUUAACCCUGGGCCUGCAGUGGGUACGGGCAGACUAGAGUGCGGUAGGGGAGAACGGAAUUCCUGGUGUAGCGGUGAAAUGCGCAGAUAUCAGGAGGAACACCGGUGGCGAAGGCGGUUCUCUGGGCAUGACCUGACGCUGAGGAGCGAAAGCGUGGGGAGCGAACAGG